GUGCGAUUCGCCAAGAGGCACAACGUUAGUGGCACAAGAAGCACCGCAACAACUGGGUCAAAUGAAUUCCUAUCUCAUGAAUUCCACGCAGUGCUGCAUAAGCUAUGAGUCAUCACACCCUGAAUCAGCCUGUGACAGUUUUGCAUUUGCCAAAAUGCAGAAGAGCAAAGUGAGAAAUAUCUUAAAAGGUGGCAGCGCAGAAAGACACGGACAGCGACGGGACAACAAGGAUGAAAUUAUGGCGAAAGGCUGCUGAGCACCGGAUAUCCUCAGCACCACCUCAUUUUGGUUGCAGAGAGCCUUCCGAAAAGAUGCACACAAAACCGCUUACGGGUGAAGCCCACGCACACCAGAGGGUAGAAAUUCUGGGGUUUUAUGUUUUAAGACCGUGAUCUGAUUAUGAGGCGUACCGUAGUGGGGGGCUCUGGAGUAACUUUCACCACCUGGGGUUAUUAACGUACCCCCAAUGCACGGGACCCACAAGUUUCUGCAUUUCACCCCUGUCGAAAUGUGGUGGGAUUUAAUCCUGCGACCUCGUGCUUGGCAGCGCAACACCAUAGCCGCUAAGCCACCGCGGUUGGUUAGGCAGAGGGUAGGUGUGAUACCUUACAUUCCCACGUUAUCACACAAUCUGAAAAAGGUGGCCCAGCAUUACGACGUGAAAAUCCUGUUCUCUGCCCCCCACAAGCUGUCAAAGCUUUGCAGAAUGACCAACCCAGAGGCAACCCAGCAAUGUGACUGCAGCAUAAAGCACAGGCGGCCUCUUGUGGAAUGCACAGGUGUAGUUUAUCGAAUUCCUUUAAGGUGCUGAAAAGUGCAUGUUGAACAAACUGGCAGAUGUGUUAACAAUAGGUUAAGGGAGCACACAAACAAUGUUAAAAAUGCGUGUGAAGCAAAAGAUUUCGAAUGUUUUCCGGCAAGUCAUUGUCUGACUUGCAAGGACUGUUUGCCCGACCUUGUAAACACUACCGUUAUUAAGAAGAGUAAGACGUGUGGGACACAGGAAAUCACAGAAUCUGAAUGGAUUUAUAGACUUGGGGAGGAAUGUGUCAGCAUGGCCUCCAUUACGCUCUAAGGCAAAGAGCUGGCAUAUUUACACAUGCGCAGAUGAUAACCCAUGGCUUCGAGACAGCAUGUAUAUAUUUGUGAAUCAUUCAGAAUAAAAGUUGUUGAAAGUUCA